AACGAACGCUGGCGGCAGGCUUAACACAUGCCAGUCGAGCGCCCCGCAAGGGGUGCGGCAGACGGGUGAGUAACGCGUGGGAACGUACCUUUUGGUUCGGAACAACUCCGGGAAACUGGAGCUAAUACCGGAUAAGCCCUAACGGGGAAAGAUUUAUCGCCGAAAGAUCGGCCCGCGUCUGAUUAGCUAGUUGGUGAGGUAACGGCUCAACAAGGCGACGAUCAGUAGCUGGUCUGAGAGGAUGAUCAGCCACACUGGGACUGAGACACGGCCCAGACUCCUACGGGAGGCAGCAGUGGGGAAUAUUGGACAAUGGGCGCAAGCCUGAUCCAGCCAUGCCGCGUGAGUGAUGAAGGCCUUAGGGUUGUAAAGCUCUUUUGUCCGGGAAGAUAAUGACUGUACCGGAAGAAUAAGCCCCGGCUAACUUCGUG
rnacentral:rRNA from 1 species